rnacentral:sRNA from 1 species
ACACGAGAAGGGAGGUGGUUCGGCAGAUGUAUGAAUACCGGACGCGUGAGGUGGCUGCGGGCUAGCGGCCCGUCACCCCACCCAGUGCGGUGCCGGACCAGCACGUGACAGACGCGUGCAGCCGGCCCAAUCCCAGCAGUCACCCGACCCGCGAGCUCGCCGGUAACGUCCGGCCGGCUCCUCCGCCCCGGCGGAGGGACCCGAGUUCGCGGGUCGUCUGCG